CACACCCCCACAGAGUUCCUCUCUAUUCCGCAAAUCCUGGCACGUUAUUUUGUGGGGUUAGGGGUGACAUUUCUUGGCCCAGGGCAUUUCUUGACUCAGCUGUCCUGCAAAGAUGACAUGGCCCAGCACCUAGCUGGCACACAACAGGAAACCCUUGCACUCUGGCGGGUGAAGAGAGGAGCUGUGAAUAAUGCUGGGACCACAGAGGUUAACAGGGGCUGUCCCAGCCUCACCUUCUCAACCUGGCCCUGAGGACUUCAGAGGCAGCUAGAGGAGCCUCCACGUCGGCCAUCCACAGGCAAUGGAGACUUAGGAAGCAGCACCCCACACCCCUGUCCAGCCAACUGCUCCAAGAGGUCUUUCCAAGCCUAUGGGGCCCCAGACUCCCAGCAUCUCAGCCCAGACCCUCACCUGCUCCACCCCACCCCACCCCGUCUGCAUCCACGGGCCAGUGGGGAACCAUUCAGUGAGAUCCUCCCUGCCCUACGGCCUUGGCCCUGACCCCAGCUUGGCCUCUUUGUCUUUGAGCCAGGCCAGCCAGUUCAGCGUUAAAGCUGCUGGAGCAUCUAAGGAGACAUAAAGAAAGUUUAGAGACUUUUAAUUUGCCAGCACGGCUCUCCGCCGGCCAGCAGGUUGAGCGUUUGUGGAGAAGGGCAGCCGCAAUAAAGGCUUAUUGUUCCUCUCUGAA